rnacentral:rRNA from 1 species
AACGAACGCUGGCGGCAUGCCUAACACAUGCAAGUCGAACGAGACCUUCGGGUCUAGUGGCGCACGGGUGCGUAACGCGUGGGAACCUGCCCUUAGGUUCGGAAUAACUCCCCGAAAGGGGUGCUAAUACCGGAUAAUGUCUUCGGACCAAAGAUUUAUCGCCUUUGGAUGGGCCCGCGUUGGAUUAGCUAGUUGGUAGGGUAAAAGCCUACCAAGGCGACGAUCCAUAGCUGGUCAGAGAGGAUGAUCAGCCACACUGGGACUGAGACACGGCCCAGACUACUACGGGAGGAAGCAGUGGGGAAUAUUGGACAAUGGGCGAAAGCAUGAUCCAGCAAUGCCGGGUGAGUGAUGAAGGCCUUAGGGUUGUAAAGCUCUUUUACCCGGGAUGAUAAUGACAGUACCGGGAGAAUAAGCUCCGGCUAACUCCGUG